rnacentral:rRNA from 1 species
GAUGAACGCUAGCGGCAGGCUUAAUACAUGCAAGUCGAGGGGCAGCAGUUCUGUAGCAAUACAGAAGCUGGCGACCGGCAAACGGGUGCGGAACACGUACGCAACCUUCCUUUAACUGGAAGAUAGCACACCGAAAGGUGGAUUAAUACUCCAUAACAUAUUGAAGAGGCAUCUCUUUGAUAUUAAAGCUCCGGCGGUUAAAGAUGGGCGUGCGUCUGAUUAGGUAGUUGGCGGGGUAACGGCCCACCAAGCCUUCGAUCAGUAGCUGAUGUGAGAGCAUGAUCGUCCACACGGGCACGGAGACACGGGCCCGACUCCUACGGGAGGCAGCAGUAAGGAAUAUUGGUCAAUGGACGCAAGUCUGAACCAGCCAUGCCGCGUGGAGGAUGAAGGCCCUCUGGGUUGUAAACUUCUUUUCUUUGGGACGAAACCCCUGUUUCUACGGGGACUGACGGUACCAGAGGAAUAAGCACCGGCUAACUCCGUGCCAACAGCCGCCGCGGUAA